UACGUAGGGGGCAAGCGUUAUCCGGAAUUACUGGGUGUAAAGGGUGAGUAGGCGGCAUGGUAAGCCAGAUGUGAAAGCCUUGGGCUUAACCCGAGGAUUGCAUUUGGAACUAUCAAGCUAGAGUACAGGAGAGGAAAGCGGAAUUCCUAGUGUAGCGGUGAAAUGCGUAGAUAUUAGGAAGAACACCAGUGGCGAAGGCGGCUUCCUGGACUGAAACUGACGCUGAGGCACGAAAGCGUGGGGAGCGAACAGG
rnacentral:rRNA from 1 species